GAUGAACGCUGGCAGCAUGCUUAACACAUGCAAGUCUUUCGCAAAGCUGUGCUUGCUGCGCCUUGCCCGGGCGGACGGGUGAGUAGAGCGUCAGGUGGUUGACCUGCCGUCAGGGCUGACAGACGUAAACGACUGCUGAGACCAGGCCAAGUCAGGCUUACUACCGUACAGCUCGAUGGAAAGAGAUGGUGCUGUAGAGACUUGGGUCCUAUUAGCUUGUUGGUGGGGUAACGGGCCACCAAGGCGAUGAUAUGUAGCCGGCCUGAGAGGGUGGACGGCCACGAGGGGAAUGAGAGACGGCCGUUACGCCUACGGGAGGCAGCAGGGGAGAAUAUUGGAGAAAGGGGGCGACCCUGAUCCAGCAAUUCUGUGUGCACGAUGAAGGUUUUCGGAUUGUAAAGUGCUUUCAGCAGGGAAGAAAAAAAUGACGGUACCUGAAGAAGAAGCGACGGCUAAAUACGUG
rnacentral:rRNA from 1 species